CCUUCAGUUGCUGAUAGACAAGACUGUUGCGGUCCUAAUGUGUUGGAGAGUAACUACAGGCCCAUGCUUUAUACACCUAACAAAUAUAGAUCUCUAGGCUUUAGGACUUUUGCGUUGCCAGUUCCUUUGCAGGAAAAUCCUCUAGUCAAGAGCGCAUCAGUAGCACUGACUAGGUAGUUCCCCUUGUACCAUUAAUUAUUUAUUAAGUUCCUGAAUGCGGAGGAUGUUCCCAACAUCCAUGAUUACACUGACGCGGUAGAGCAAACAUACAGUAAUUUUGAUCCUUCUAUUUUUGCAUGACUGCAAAGUCAGUUAAUCAGGAUAUUGGAGAACAAUUGUCUAGAGUAAUUUUGAUCUUUCUCUUUGUCCAUGCAAUGUAUAACAGGGGUUUGGAUCCA